AUGAGAGAGGACAGGCAGCUCCCAAGCAGUGAACAGCAUGACCAGGCCAGCAGGCCGAACCCCCUCCCGCCUCAGGGCUUCGCACCCUCUGCCUGGAAGGCGCUCACCCACGUUUUGCACGGCUCUCUCUCAGUUCAGCCAGGCUUUACUCUGAUGUCCUCUUUUGGGAGGGAGGGCUCCCCCCCAUGGGAAGGGCCACUCCCCGCUCCUCACUUUCAUUUCCUCCCUCUGCUUUAUUUUUCCUCUUCUCGUCCCUUCUCACUACCUGCAAUUGUUUGUUGUCCGGCCCCCCGACUGGGAGCUUUGACAAGGGCCAGGGUUCUGUGCUCGGAGCAGAGCCUGGGCUCACUUCACAGGCCACCCCCACGCACGCAGAUCGCCCUCCUUGCUUCCGGGCCCACCCAUCGGGAGGGGGCUCCGGGCCGGUCGAGGGCCUGGGCCUGGGCCUGGCGCGCGGGGAAGCAGUGUGGGAAGAGCGAGCUGAGCCAGCGCGGCGGGACCUGCCCCUCAUUAGCAGCUGUGGGGCCGGAGUCCCGGUGUUCUGGGCUCUCAGAUGGGGUUCAAAAGAGCUGCUUCUCACAGAUGGGUGAACAUGUGCUGCAUGAAGGCUUGCCAGGCCUUGGGACCAGUCACCUCAUCAGGGAGCCUCUGCCAGCCUCCGCUCUGGUCCCGCAUGCUGUCAUUUCCCAGCGCAGUUCCGAGGGCAGCUCGGUUUCCGCCAGUUCUGUGUCGGUUCUUGGAUGGCACCGUGCUGCUGCCCCCAGGUUCGAUCCGUGUGGGGGAUCCAGGAAUGAUUGCAGCUCUUUCCUGGAUCCUGGACAGCAGGGAAGGGGAAUGAGGGUAUGGAUCAGUAUCCCCUGCCCUGCUCCAUUUUCCAGGCUCAGCCACGCACUUACUCGUCCCUUCAUUUCAGUAGCUGGCAGAGAGUCAUAAUUGAAUUUGCAGUAGGGCUGAGAAUGAAGAAAGAAAACCCUUUACAUGUCUGGGAUUAAUUUAUCCCUGAUGAUGGCCACAUUCACACGCUCCUUUCUGCUUAGGUUUCCAGAGCGUUCUGGCUGACAAUGGGAAACACACACACAGAGAAAGCAUGUGUGCCCUGAGUGCACGCUGGGAGUGUGCGUGUGCCUGCAUUCGUGACUGUGUCUGAGAGCGCAGGGCUUCCUGGGUGGGUCUCAGCAUGACGGAUGCAGCCGUCUGCCUGAGUGGGCCUGCAUGGGGCAGAGGGCCUCCAGCAUGCACAUCCAUGGGCACCCAGUCUGGUCAUUUGUGGGCAACUCUCCCCCAGCUCACCCAAAACCCAAGUAGAGUAACUGAGGCCAUGCUGCUUCGCUAUGAAAGGAAAGCCUGGACACGGUGGCCACGACAGGAUGGUGCAGUGGGCACGGCCCGGGGGUCAGGGCAGCUGCACAGCUUCUCCCACUCCCUGUUCUCAUUCAGAGAGCAGCAAGCCCAGUACCCUAGGGGCAGAGAAAUGGGGUUACCAUCAUCCCCACACUGGAGAAGCCCCCACCAAGAGGGGAGCCAUCUCCAACCUGCCCUGUCUUCUCCUGUAGUGUUCUCACUGCUCCCCAAAAUCCAGGUCAGCCCAGAGUUCCUUUUCAAAACAAAUUUGAGUGCUCAUUAUGCAUCAUCUCGGGUCCUCCCUGCAAUACCCUGUGAGGGAAAGCCACCAUCAUUCCCUGUUUCAGAUAAGAAAAUAGAGACCUAGGGGUAAAGUGACUUGUCCAAGAUCACAAAGCUAAGUGGCAGAGGCAGCGCUUGAACCCCUGUGUGCCUGAUUAUAAAAGCCACAUUCUGGCCAUGGGGACUAAGAAGGGCACUUGUGACAAGCACCAGGUGUUGUAUGGAAUUGUUGAAUCACCAUAUUGUACACCUGAAACUGAAUCACACUGUAUGUCAACUACCUGAAAUUUAAAUAACAACUUUAAAAAUUAAAAAAAUAAUAAAAGCCACCCUCUAGUAAAAUCUCUUUUGACC
rnacentral:lncRNA from 12 species